ensembl:lncRNA
AAUUAUCUAGGUUCCUGACUGCAAUUUAGAAAUGCGCUGAAUUACUUCUUAAUUUUGGCUGUGUUCAGUUUCUCGGGCUUCGUCUCAGACCGUGUGACCUAUAUCUGCUCUUCGGGCAUAUUUUCAUUGCAUACUUUUGAUCUCUGUUGGAUACUACAUUUUUUUAAACUCCCACUUUAAGGUGUUGGCAUAGACGCUGCCAGCUAUGCAUACACAAGAAAUUAAUGAAAGUGUUGUUAUUUAAUUUGUUUUAACUGUUUGGGGAAAUAUGGAUCUUUAUGAGUAAAAAGCAGUUUUUAGUUGUCCUGCCAUGAAAGUAUUUAACGUGCACGUAAUCUGUUAAGCCUGAACUGUAAAUAUACAUUAGACACUGGAUGUAGCGCCGCUAGGUUAGAGAUGGUAUCCUACUCCUGUAGUGCGGUAUGCUGCUGUGUACAGAUGUGUAGUGCGGGGAGUGUCAUGAUGAUGAAAGACUGUUUCCACUUAAACUCUAUGCUCUCUGUCCUAAGGCCACCGGGUUCGAAAGAGGUGGGGUAAGGAGCUCUUUGGGCCAGAAUGAAGAAGGGGCCCUUGGUACGGGGCAGCUUUUGCAAGAGCGCAAGCAUUCAGUUACAGUAGAUACAACGUGAAUCGACUGUUGGGUUUUUCACUGUGCCUAAUUAUCCUUGCUUACUUUUUUCUCCCCCUCGCCCUUCUUCUAGAAAAGCGUAUUCACACUUCUUUCUGUGCUCGGUGGUUUGUUGUUGCCAUGUGGUAGUGCAUUACAUUAUACAGCAGGAGGCAUAAAGGAGCUCUCCCUGACUGACCCCCCACCCAGCACACACGGCCCACCAUCGCUGUGGAAUCUGUGCAGGUUUUUUGUCUUCUUUGGAAAUUUCUAUAAAUAGUCCCGGUUGACUCUUGUCGUGUUAGUGUGCGAAGACAAGGUGGAAGUAAAACUGAGCAUAAAUGAAGGGACCCUUUGCCGCACUGAAGCGCACGUGAUGCCUUUCAGACAUCGUGACAUGUGAUGUCCGCGAGCAAGGAGAGAUGCCUUAAAAGUGAAUUUUCGAUUCAAAAAAACGAAGAAGAAGAAAGAAAAGAAUGAGGCUCUAAUGAUACAGAGAGAAAUACAGCAAAAUGUAAAUGAGAGCUGAAGAAGUGAGAACUGUCUGCCUGAUUUAUUAUUUUUAAAUUGACUUCAAAAUAAAAGAAUGACCUAUUUAAACCAGCAGGGGGAAAGGGUUGGGGGGCGAUAGUGUUGAGACCACACAGGCCAUUUUUCUGCUGUCACUGAUCUCAGCCUAUUGUGCGCUGUCCGUCAGAAGAACCCUGGUAAUUCCCUCUGCUCCCCAUUUGUCUCGCUUUCCUACCAUCUUGUCUCGUGUCUUCCCCCCCUCUUUUUUUUACAAGCCUUUUCCACUGCUUUACAGUGACUAAUACUGAUAAAAUAUAAGACCACCACACACACCACAAUGCUUCCAGUUACAUUUCCUUUGAAGCUCCCUGAACUGGUGCGUUCACUCUCUCUUGCUCCCUCCUUUUCUCUUGUUCCCACCCUCCUUUUCUCCAUGAAACGCACGCUGUAAUACCCAGUCACUCACAGACACAGAGGGCGAGAGACACAGGAACAGAAUACUGGACAUGCUACUGGAGCAGGAUUUUUCUUUUUGUUUGCCUUAAAUGAAAAAGGAGCUUGAAAGAGACAUUGCUGACCGGCACAGGCGUACAGAGAAGACUGCGGCAGCCUCCGCCACCUCGGUCAGCUGGAGCUUGCUACACUCGCUGCUGCACACCGCCGCCAUCUUGUUACUGCCUGUGCUACUGGUCUGCCUGCCUUUGCUGCACUCAAACCAAAUCAUCAAACUCAGCCUGCGGUUGUUUCCAUGCCACUCCUGUUUGUGCGCAGCUUUGUCACAACGCAGUGCUGCGCACCAGCUACCGGACGUUGCUGCACAGAAGCACCUGGAACUUUUAUCUGGGUGUUUCUUUAAUAGCUGCCACAGAUUGGAUGCUGCAGACGGUGUUGUCAGCAUCUCUCAAACCAUCAGUAAGAUCUGUACCAUUGUAACACACACUAUGCCCGAUGUAGAUUUAGCUAAGGACUUGACAUGCCGUACACCAUUAAAACAAGUAAAAAUAAGUGAAAUGUUAUUUUACAAAUUUACAAAUGAUUCAAAGUGGCAUGUCUUCUUCGCAGGAUUUAAGAAAAUUGCUCCCGUCGAAGAAAAUCAAUAACCACAAUCUGUCCCUUAUUCUGUGUAUAUAUUUCUCUCCAGAGCCCAUAUGCCUGAGCACAUAUACUGUAUAUGCUAUCUUUGUGAGCUUGUGUGCUGUAAAGAGAGGGUGGGAAAGAGAAAGGAGGGGAGUGAGAGAGAAAGAGAGGAAUCAAGCGUCGGUAAGAAAGUCUUCCUAAUUCUGUUUGGCAGAAACUGUGCUGUUUAACCAUAUGUGCAGAGAGCAGGCUUUGCACAUGCUCAGAAUGACUCAGAGGACACGACUUUCACAUGUCUCAACGCAAUUAGAUUAACUAAUAGAUAAUUUUCCAGCAAAUAUAAAUAAGUUACAGUGAAGUCAUAAAUAAUUUAAAAAGUGUGCACUCUACCUUGAAUUAUUUUUGUUGUACUCACAGUAUGAGGUUAAAACAUGGGCAUUAGAAGGAGAGCGGGAUACAAACACAGCAAGUAUAUUCCAGCUUAUGGAAAUCUUAUUCCUGCAUUUAACUGUGCUUUGGUGCAAAACAAGUGGAAGUGUGUAGGUGGAGGCCACAGUGAUACAGCAGUGAGUUCAGAAGGUCUUCAAUCCUCUAAGACUAUAUGCCAAGAAGACACCAUGCUAAUGAAAUCAUAAAGACGGUGAAGAAAACAAGCUGUCCCUGGAGAAUACAUCCAUGCAUCGGAGGUUGCCAGUUUUACUUUACUUGCUUCUGGGUAUGCAUGUACUGUAGCUUUGCAGUGAUACUGUAUUUAUAAGGUCAAAGGCUGCUUUGCUUCAGGGUUAAAAUGCUCUCAGCCUUUAUCUUAUGAUUACCUUCAUCAGGUCAGUGAAGAUCACCCUUUGCCCCACCAGCUGAGUGGGACAGCGGGUUACAAGAGGUAUGCAAAUCACAGUAAUAUUUAUUAUGUAUAACAAGGAAGAAAAUGUAAAAAAGAAGAAGAGUUUAAAUCACUGCUGAUAUUCCUAUGAAAUACAGGGUACAAUUAGAAUGAGAUAGAAAUGAUCAAGAUGCAAUUAACGUUCAUACUUUAAAUAUUGGACAGAAAUAUGACGUUGAAUAAUUUUGGCCACUUUUAUACACAGUCCGCCAUCUUUAGGUGCUUAAAUGCAGUCGAACGAACGCUCGUUAUAAGUUGGGGGCGGUUACAGUUACAGAACCAGCAGUUCUGGCCUAUUCAGAGAGCUCAGGUGGUGGAGCAGGUGGUGGAGCAGGUUUGGGCAGGACACUGAACCCCUAGUUGCUCUCGAUGGCAGAUGAGCUGUCUGAACACGUGUGGCCUAUAAAUGCCGAUCGUCUAAAAUUUGUACUUUUAAUACUUUGUCAGGAAUCAUUUGCGGGCAGUCUGAUUUCUGAAACCUUCGGAUAUUAAUGCUUCUGCGUUUCUGCAGUUGUUUGUUUACGCGUCUUGUUAUCAGGGAGUGAAAUUCAUACUCAGUCAGACUGAGAUUGGCCGAGAAAGUUAAAUUGUCUGCAUCAUGGUUGACUAUAAUCAAUGCUGACAUUGCUUGUUGUCCUCAUUGUGUAAGGACGGAAUCAUUAGAAACACCAAGUAACAGCGUAUUACGUAGAGAGCAAAGAAUUCGUAGUUUAUCGAGCUACCAGGUCUCACGCAGAGUUAACUUUGAAUUGAUGAUUAAAAGCAAACAAUAGUCAACUGAUAGUUUUCAUGAAUGUUAUUAAUCUAGUUUAAAAUUUCAAAUUCAGUUGGAGUUUCAGAGACUUCAGAGCAGAUCGCUGAAACAAUACCGAAGCAAUAUUGCUGCAUUUUAAAUCCGUCCGUCCAAGUCAUCUUUAGGCAAAAUGCAGGAUAUACUGUGGACUCAUUACCAGUCUAUCACGUGGCUAAUACAGAACACUUGCAGUCCAUCAGCUAAGAAUGGCUGCAUGAUUAAAUCCCAUUUAGAGGAAUUAUUCACUGUCAAAAAGUCCAAUUUAUGCAGAAAGCACAUAAGAGCAAAUAUGAAUUUCUUACUGGAAGGUAAGCUCCAUACUGGAACAUCACAAUACAAGUUCAGAGAGCCUGUCCAAUGAAAUAAUUCAUUAUAAUCCAAAGUGAGCCUUCAUCAGCCUGGGAGUUGUCCUGCUAUGUUUUUAUGAUCCAGUUAACAGAAAUAAAGCCCUCAACUCUCCGGCUUGAGUAAUGACGUAAGCAGUUAACGAUUGGAAGAAUUUCUUUUUGGACAAGAGCGGAGGACGUUGAUCAUUCAGGGUCAACAAUGAGCGCCUCAUUUGUUCUUUUUUUCCCCAUUUGUAGUAUAAAUAGAAGCAGUUCAGCCUUCAGUGGAGAGUUUGUGGAGCAUACUUACUGAGUGUCGAAUGCAAAGAUGUUGCAUUCUUUAUUAUUCCAUAUCAACUGUCCUGGAAUCCGUUACACCAUUUCCCAGAAUUGCAGUCCAAAAAGUAUGUAAAUCCCAGCUGGGAAUGGGUGUAGAAUCCCAAGGUUUGUGCACGUGACAUGAACUAUUCAUUCUUCUUCUUUUUCUGUCAAAGCAUGACUUCUUAAAAAGAGUUACAGGUGUAUCUGGGCCCACCUUCUUGUUACAUAUAUAUAAUGCACAGCUGUCAAAAGUAAAUAAAGUAGAAAUCACAAACGUCCUUUGUUAGGUGUUCACAUUUAAUUGCUCCUUCAGAAAUAAAUGCAAAAUCUUUGGAAAACAGGAUAAUCUGCUAACAAGUGCCAUUUCCUUACCCAGAGGACCCAUACUUGAGACUUUGUUUCUCCCAGAAUACAAUGUUUCCUCAUUUUCAGUGAGGAACCAACCAAAAACCAAAAGGUUUUGACAUUCAUUGUUCUCCCAGAAGAUGCAUCUGCAGGCAAUCCCUAACUUUCUCCUCUAGUGCUACCAGCACAAUGAUGUACAGGUGUAUGUGGUUUUAAAAUUCAUAAGUCACCAAAUACUGGAUGGAUUUCCAUUAAAGUUUGUGCCGAUAUUCAUAUCCUUCAGUGUACCUGUCUGCAUUUUUUUAAAAAGUGUCCUGUGUUCCAGUAUUUUGGCUUGCGAUUAAACAACUGCAAAGCUAGUGAUUUGCUGCAUUACUUACAUAUUGCAGUCAUGAAUAAGAGAAGAGACUAGUCUUUCCUGGUAGACUGCAGUGAAUUAUCUUCACAGCAGCAGAGUAGACAUAGAUUGCAUGACAUGGUGCAGUUUGCACAUGGAAUGCAGAAAGAUUUCAGGCACUGAGUGAUGAAGGCCAGAUGUUUGAGUUAUGCAUAGGAAGUCAGUGGCCUACAGUUGGUACUGUAUGAAGCGAUGAUGCCAGAAACCAUCGCCGGCAUAUACCAUGUAAUUAAAUUUAAGGAAGCCCACUCACAUAUUACAGCUUGUAUAUAAAAGCAAUACAUGUUCCAGGUUUGAAAAAAACAGACAUCAAAAAACAUUACAUAAACACAAGUGCCUAAAUAAAAAUAGAAACGGUAUAUGAGUAAGAGGUGUUGCUUAUGAUUCACCUGGUUACAGUUUGCAUAGCAACUAAUUCUAGUUUUUUUAUAUAUAUAUAUAUAUAUAAAGUUUUGCUCAAAAAUAAAAAAUAAAGAAAAGCUUAAGAGUCUGAGAGGUUGUUGUGAAUGUUGUGGAUUUAAUGAUUGGUCAAAAAUAAAUAAAACAUAAAUAUAAGCGAGGUCAUUAUAUCGAUAUCUUCAAUUUUGUCCUUCAUUUGUAGAUGUUACGGAAAUUAAUCUUUUUAAACUUGGAGAAAAGAAACAAGUUCAAAAGAGGACUUGUUUACCAGAAAAUAUUCCUUGCACAUUGAUUUGCAGCACGCAGUGUGGUUACAUUAUUAAACUAUAGACACCCAGCAAUGGUAAAUAUAUACUGAAACUUACCUCCUCCUCCUAUAGACGGUUUUCUCUUGUUCUUUCUCCCUCCUUUUUGUCUCGUCUUGCACACAGUUACACAUGCACACUCCCAGCCUGUCUGCGUCUCACACUCAAACACGCACACACACACACACGCACACACACGCACCGUCUUUUGUUUGGAGUCAGACGGCAUUGAAGGCAGAUCCUGUGGCCCUUCUGAGGAGAAUGUUAAUAUGCCCGCUCUGGUCUCUCUGGGGACGCAGAGAAUGGACUCGGGCUGCUAAUGCACUGUCACACUAACCCCGCUAAGUAUUCUCACAGUUAGCAACAGCAGCGCUGCUCCCAGAACUGAAAUGUAUUUAACUAAACUCGCAACCUACUGAAUCGUAAAGACUUACUUUAGAUUGUCCUUUCACAAAUAACUGCCUCAUUUGCCCACCUUUCUGUGCCUGCAAACAGAGAUAUGGCAGGUGGGCUAUUUGUUGAGUGCAGUUAGACUUAUUUCACUUUCAUUAGCACUUUAUUUAUGUGGACUCAUUAGGGGCAGUUUGCUCCCCCACACUGAGGUAGGCUUAAUGGAUUAUACUAACGACCUACACAAGCACACGGUAUUCAGUUACAUGUAGAGUUUAAACAAGUCAAAUUAUCUUUAAAGAGUUUGGGCUCGGUAUCGUUUUUGCUAACUUUGGCUAAAGGAUGUAUUUUUGCUUGUGGUUCAGUGAAAUCCUGCUAUUCGAACUGUGGUCACCUGAGUGGAAGGAAAAUGUUCCCCACUUACCAAACUGGUGUGAGGAGUAACUAUGUUUUCAUUUAUGUCAUGAAUAAAAUAAAACUAUUUUUGCUAUUUAAGAGCAUUAAAAAUGAAAAAUAAAUUAAUAACAUUUACUUCAUGUUGUAUAUUGGCUGUGGUCAUUGUGUCCAUGUGCUGAGCCUGUGGAUCACAGUUGCAUGCAGUAAUAGUCAAAGGAUAUUUAAGGUAUUACUAUAUAAACUAUGUAUUAUCAUGGAUUAAAUAUAUUAUAUAAGACAUUUUAUUUUGUGAGCAGUGUUUUCCUUUGAUAAUGC